rfam:Sus scrofa isolate TJ Tabasco breed Duroc chromosome 1, whole genome shotgun sequence.
UCCCUGGUGGCCUAGUGGUUAAGGACCCAGCAUUGUCACUGCUGAGGCUUGGGUUUGAAUCGUGGCCUGGGAA